ACUUGACAAGUUUGGGAGAGCUUGGCAAAAUAUUGCUUGUGAAAUCUUGGCUUUCACUGAAAGGAGAGGCCAUGGAACAAUCUGUGAUAACUGAAGAAACCCAAACAAACCCCAGAUCCUGCCAUUGUGAUGUGCUGACAGACAGGAAUCUAUGCGGCAAAUGAUGAAACGUGCUGCGACACACAGAAUCAAGUUGCUGUCAAGACCGUAGCCUGAUUACACAGGAAAAAUUGCACACAAACCAAGGCCUUAUGCAAUGAAUCAUAAAAGCAGAGAGAAGAUAAGUGAAGUUAUAAGGUCAAAUUCCCAGUGUCACUACGGAAAGCGUGGGUGACAAAUCAUGACAUCCCUUCUCUGGCAGACAAUCUCCAGCUUCAUCCCCUGCAGGACUGCUGACAUGCUUAGGGACCUUGUGAUCACACAACCUGCAGUUGUAUCGACAGCUGGGACACAUGCAGAAGAUGAACGACGCAGGCUGGAGCCAGAUGAUAACAUUUUUCCACUCUCAGGGAGUGUGUGAUUCUUCUUGAGGAAGAGACUGUCUGAAACCAUUGGAUUGCGCUGUAGUGCAUCCUGUGAUGGACUCAAACAUAUAAUCACAGUCCUUAAAAUGUAACGAGUCCCUACUGUACAGUGAAACAAUUCCAGACGUAUGUAUGUGACAUGGGAAGAAGCAGGUGCCAAAAAUUCCUCUUUUGUCUGGCCAUAAAGUGCAAAAAUAUUUUCUCUAAAAGGUAAAAAUCCAGUGAGCUCUCUAACAUAAAACUUUGUUUUUAUAUGUUCAUAUCCACUAUAUUUCUCUUCAGAAUUUAAGCACCUCCAGAAACUUUUUUUUUUUUUUAAAAAAAAAAGGACUUGAAUUCUCCUCCUCACUUCAAGAAGCUGUGGGGGAAAAAAAUAUAUAGUUGCAUAUAUGUGAACAUAUGAGCAUGUAUGUAAAUCUGGAGUUGCACUGGACUUUUAAUAGCAUCUAAUUCAGGUGUGAUAAUCAGGAGAAAAGAACUAGGCAAGCUGCCCUCUCCAGCAUUGGUGGCUGGGUGCUCCCAAGCUCAUCUUGAGCUUGCAAGGGAGAGAGAAAAGGGAGGAGAAGGCACCAUCUGCAAAGCAAAGACUGAGAGGUGAUGGCUCUGGACAGAGAGGACAGUAGUGGGGAAAAAAGCAAGUGAUGUUCAAAACAGGUUGGACAACAGGCAGUUCAGGAGCUGACCAUGGUUCAACAGCUGGUUCCACUAACUGGGACUAAACCCCAUCCAACAGGCUGUAAGAGACAGACAGUGGGUUUUUGCCCUCUUUCUAUGUUUUUGUAUCUUUUCUUCUGAGAAAACUAUGCUAAAGCAGGAAAAGUUUUGCUGUUGGAGGGCAUCUGCAGGCUUGUGCUGGAAAAACCUACUUCGGAGGAAUGGCCAAACUGUCUCACGCCAAUGGUUUGCUGGUUUAGUAUCUUGCGUGUUGCUGGAAACAGCAUCAAACAUUUCAGAGGAAGGUGCAAGAAACAUAGUAGAAAAUUGAUGCAGGCCAACCUGGCCAGCAGUUCUUAGUGGCUAUAGUGGACAACAUCAUAGCAGACACCCUUUGUGCUUGGUCCCAUUGAUCAUUCCAACCCCUGGUAUUUUUUCAUAUCAGUGUAAUGUCCACUUCUCUUUAAACUUGCUAAGAAAUGGUGAGGCAAUGCGAUCUAUGACUUAAUCAUGUGCCAGAGGUGCCUGUGUUGGGGGUAGAUUGGGUUAGGAAGAUGGGGAAGCAUCUCUUUUAUUGGGUUUGAAAUUUGCAACUUCUCAUUUUUAUGGAAUUUCUCAUUGUCCUUAGGUUUGUACCCAGUCCUUUCCCUGCUUUAAUUUGGGUCUAAUGUUUAUAAAUACAAUUAGCAAAAGCAGAACAAAUGAACUGAGCCACACACUGUAUUCAGUCACAAUAUUUAUGAUAUGACCAAUACUAACAUUUCUGAGAAAAACAUUUAUCAGGGACAGUUUACAGACUGUAUUUGAGAGUUAAAAAAAAAUUCCUAUGUUUUUCUCCCCAAAGCAUCUUUAUACUCCGCUCCAGCAAGCUCUGGUAUUUUAUGUCUAUAGAAAAUAACACAGUUCACAUUAGUAAGCCCAAAUGUUUCUAAAUUGACUGCGACACAUGUUUAAUUUCCUAAAAAGUACUUGAUCAAAAGCUUAAAAUUGCCUGCAACCUGCUGAACUGUUCUUCAGAACUGACAGAGAAGCAGAAGGAAAGGGUGGUCUCUAGAGAGCUAAUCUUACAGUUGGAAUCCUUUGUGUAUUCAGCCAAAUAGGAUUGGAGGCCAGGUUUAGUUGCCUGUAUAGAGCUCAGAUUAGAAAUUCAUAAAAAGGAAGAAAAGAGGAGAAAAGUUUUAAUGGAAAAAUAAAAUCUGACAAAGCUCCUAUUUUAUUAAAAUCAGUACUCCCCAUUUCAGCCAAAGAAUUUUUGGUUUAUUUUGUUUUGGUUUUACUACAUAUGAUUUCCAUGGUAUUAUUUCAAAUAGCUGCAACUGGGCUCAUACAAGGAAGAAUAUGCGUCUGAUUUAUAUAGUUUAUACUCAAACUGGUAUACCACGCAGACUUCUAGAGCAUGCAUUGGGCUUUUUCUCCUUAUUUCCAUGUUUACUCCCAAUCACUAAACUGAAGCAAAAACAUUCACAUACUCUUUAGCAAUGCCAUGGAAAUGUGAGAAAUGUUAUACACUAGUCAGAAGAAAAACAAAUUUUUGAAACUUGAGUGAGCCAGGAUUAGGACAGUAAUGACCCAGUAGCAAUUUAUGGGAAUAUUGUGGCCCAAGAGGAAAAGAGAAAUUUCCCAAGUGUAGCUGUAUAUUGAUUUCAUGCAUAGGCUGGAGGAGUUAGAGUGGGAAGCAGGGUAAAGGCUUGGGAAAGGCAAAGCUGACAGCAGUAUUAAAGCACAUGAUGAAGUUGUUCACUUUCAUACAAAACAGUACUGGUAGUUUUAUAAAAUAUAUGCAUUUUUCACAUCAAGCAAAGUAGAUGUGAGGCUGAGAAGUAAGUAUUAAUGGGGUCAGAUCUUUCCUAAAGUCAGUCAGGCUCAGAUAGGUCUAAGAGCAGCAAAAAAUAUAAAUACUAGCUGCCAAGACUUUAAACAACUAAGAUUUUGGCAAAGUCUUUCUGAUCAUAUGAUGCGCAUUCUACUAGUGAAAUCAGAGUUGUAUAAAUUCUUGCAAGGUAUUUUUAGAAAACUAUGAAGAAUUAUCUGGAACAAAUCAGAGAGGGAGAGAAUUGCCCUAAAAUUAUACAGAUGAUCAGAUCACUUUAAUUUGUUAAAUAUCUAAGAAAACCUACAGGAAAAAUAAUAACAAUAGGCUCUAAAAAAAGCUAUUACAGAUCUUUGUGUAUGGAUUUUCCAUUCUGUGUGUUGUUUCUGCCCAGGUUUGUCAUUUAAUUUCUGCAAGUACUGUGAGAAAUCAGUCUGCCCGCAAGGUUUUCAAUGCUUAUAUUACUUUUGUUUUGGAAACAUGAAAUCCCUUCAUGACUCCAUAUUCUGAACUGCUGUUCUUCAGUUAAAUCUGCAAGUCUGAUGACCUCGCAAUGCUAUGUUAACACCUCCGAAGGUGUAGUUGUCCAAACAGGUAUUUAUUAAAUGUUUUCUUCCAAAAGUGACAGGAUGUUUCUUGCGGUUCAUCAGAGAUUAUUCAAAUGACCACAUUGCAGCUUUUGCAUCUGCAGGCAAAGAAUUUGUGAUGAGAUCAUUUUGAUUCAAAUAAACACA